rnacentral:lncRNA from 1 species
GGAGGAAGAAUCAUAUAUUAGAUAAAAUUGUUGGAUUACAAUAAUGGAUAUUACACAAGGAAAAUCAUCCAAAUGGAUAUAUAAUCAAAAUAUUUUCUUGACAACGAAACUUAAAUUGAAAGCAUCUAUCAACAUCCCUACAACUUAACUAAAACACAAUCGACAAACAUCGUCCAACAGGAACAUCAUCCCUACAACUUAAUUAAAAUUGAAACCAUCCGUCUUCAUCAUCAUGAACAGGAACAUCAUCAUCAUCAUCAUCAUCAUCAUUGUAGUAUACUUGCCACACACACCCAUAGAAUCAUCCAUUUAUCUUUUGAAUCUACAAACAAAAAAACAAAAUGAUCUGUUAACACACAAUGCAUGUCACAAGUACUAAUAGAGACACGAUAUUAGUCACUUACAAAGGUUGACAUGCAAAAACAAAUCUGCAUUACCAAGAGUUGCAGUUUUUGCGACUCUGUAUCCAAUCUUCAGUUUUCACAAGUUUCAUAUCGACAUGCACUACCCAGAAUUCAUUAGUAAUUUCAGCACCAUCAAGUUCAAAUUUAGGAUCACAACUUACAACUGUAGCAAGAGCUACGUCUCUGUUAUGGUUUUUUAGGCUCAUUAAAAAUACUUAUGUCCCUUCCUGUUAGAGAAAAUCAAAGUUACCAUUGGCAGAAUCAUGUCAAGCAAAAUAAUUAAUAGAAACGUG